rnacentral:rRNA from 1 species
AUUGAACGCUGGCGGCAGGCCUAACACAUGCAAGUCGAGCGGGGACUUCGGUCCUAGCGGCGAACGGGUGAGUAAUGCUUGGGAAUCUGCCCAGUAGUGGGGGAUAACGUCCCGAAGGGACGCUAAUACCGCAUACGUCCUACGGGAGAAAGAGGGGGAUCUUCGGACCUCUCGCUAUUGGAUAAGCCCAAGUCGGAUUAGCUAGUUGGUAGGGUAAUGGCCUACCAAGGCGACGAUCCGUAGCUGGUCUGAGAGGAUGAUCAGCCACACUGGAACUGAGACACGGUCCAGACUCCUACGGGAGGCAGCAGUGGGGAAUAUUGGACAAUGGGCGAAAGCCUGAUCCAGCCAUGCCGCGUGUGUGAAGAAGGCCUUCGGGUUGUAAAGCACUUUAAGCGGGGAGGAAGGUUCGCGGCCUAAUACGUCGCGGAAUUGACGUUACCCGCAGAAUAAGCACCGGCUAACUCUGUG